rnacentral:ncRNA from 14 species
CAUUAGUAUAGUGGUAAUAUAUCUGCCUUCCAAGCAGAUGUUGUCCCGAGUUCGAGUCCCGGAUG